UACGAAGGGGGGCUAGCGUUGCUCGGAAUUACUGGGCGUAAAGGGAGCGUAGGCGGACAUUUAAGUCAGGGGUGAAAUCCCAGAGCUCAACUCUGGAACUGCCUUUGAUACUGGGUGUCUUGAGUGUGAGAGAGGUAUGUGGAACUCCGAGUGUAGAGGUGAAAUUCGUAGAUAUUCGGAAGAAACACCAGUGGCGAAGGCGACAUACUGGCUCAUUACUGACGCUGGAGGCUCGAAAGCGUGGGGAGCAAACAGG
rnacentral:rRNA from 1 species